GAAAUGCGAUAAUUAAUGUGAAUUGCAGAAUUCAGUGAAUCAUCGAGUCUUUGAACGCAUAUUGCACCCCCUGGUAUUCCGGGGGGUAUGCCUGUCCGAGCGUCAUUGCUGCCCUCAAGCCCGGCUUGUGUGUUGGGUCCUCGUCCCCCCCCGGGGGACGGGCCCGAAAGGCAGCGGCGGCACCGCGUCCGGUCCUCGAGCGUAUGGGGCUUUGUCACACCGCUCUCGUAGGCCCGGCCGGCGCUGGCCGACGCUGAAAAGCAACCAUUAUUUCUCCAGGUUGACCUCGGAUCAGGUAGGGAUACCCGCUGAACUUAAGC
rnacentral:misc_RNA from 1 species